AAAUAAGAAACAAAAAAUUGUAUUUAGUUUCGACCUAAAAUUUUGGUGUUAUACCCUUAUUUA
rnacentral:tRNA from 1 species